GCCUGUUCUUGUCGCUCGACGCCUCUGCCGCCGCCGCACGCCCGCGGCAAGUAAAGGCUGCAGAUCGACAUCGGCAAUACUGAAACCCAAGAUUUGAGGCUAUGGAGCGGUAUUUUUCGAAGAAAACUCGGUCACCAGAUCGAGAUGAUGAUACAGGCACAUCAAGGUCACCCACUAGACGUAGGCUAAGUGCAUCAAAUGUCACUGUAGCUAGUCUCCCGAAGCCAACUAUUCAUACAGAAAUUAAUUUAGAUGAGUUGCCGUAUGAUCCGGCUGAUCGGAAGAGAAUUUCUGACUACACAAGAAAUCCGAAAAAGCAAGAUGAGAUUAGGCGCAGAUAUUUAAUGAGAGGACCUUACAGGCCACCAUCUAAUUUUGAUUACCCGCAGAGGGAGAUUGGUGAUACUCAACGGAGAUUUAAUCCAGAUUGGUUUAACGACUAUGAUCGUUGGCUUGAGUAUAGUGACACAGUGCAUAGGGCUUUUUGUUUGUGUUGCUACCUUUUCAGAGAUUACAAUGAGGGACAAGCUGGAAGUGAUGCAUUUGCAAUUAACGGUUGGAACGGUUGGAACAAGAAAAGCAGACUCGAUACUCAUGAGGGUAAGGGUAAUGUUAAUAGCUUUCACAAUGUAGCAGUAAAAAGAUGUGACGCUUUGAUGAAUCAAGAUCAGUCAAUUCAUGUUGCUUUUGAUAAGCAAACUGAUCUUACAAAAAAGCAAAAUCGAAUCCGGCUUGAUGCUUCCAUUGAUUCGGUGAGAUACUUGUUGCAUCAGGGCUUAGCUUUCCGGGGCCAUGAUGAAUCAGAGGAGUCAAAAAAUAAGGGAAAUUUCCGAGAGUUGGUACAUACUUUGGCAAACCAGAAUGAAAGCUAUACGGAAUGUAGUUCUUGAGAAUGCUCCAAGAAACUGUAAGUGGGUAUGUGGAGAUAUUCAAAAGGAAAUUGCAAAUUAUUUUGCAAAGAUAACUUUAAAUUCUAUUAUUGAUGAAAUUGGGGCGAUGUAUUUAGU